UCUACGUUAGAGAGGACCUCCACCUGUCUCUACGUUAGAGAGGACCCGCACCUGUCUCUACGUUAGAGAGGGCCUACACCUGUCUCUACAUUAGAGAGGGCCUCCACCUAUCUCUACGUUAGAGAGGACCCGCACCUGUAUCUACCUUAGAGAGGGCCUGCACCUGUCUCAACAUUAGAGAGGAUCUCCACCUAUCUCUAUGUUAGAGAGGACCAGCACCUGUCUCUGCGUUAGAGAGGACCUCCACUUGUGUCAGGAUCUGGGGUGAGUCUGCACAUUCAACUAAUUACCACCAAGUCGUUGCAGGUGAGCGGUGCCGGAGAGUGGCCAGCUGCGGUGUGUUUCCCAUCACCUGCCAGGGUUUAUAAGGAGCUGGGAGAUCACUUCACCUCGCUGGAAGAUUACUCAACUUGGGAUCAUCUUCAGACCUGCCUCAUCCAACCUCAGCCAUAAUCUGGAACCGUGCUACAGAUCUCCCUCCUCCUGGUGGACCCCACCGCUCUCCUCCGCUCACCUCUUGGAUCACGCCCCAGUACCAACACCUCUGCCACAGCUCACCCCAGAUCUGCCCAGACAUCAAAGCCAGCUUCCUACAGUAAGACUCCUCCGAAGAAUUUAUUCCACUUCAGCCACAAGAUCCUCACCUCUGUCUAUCCUACAGACCCCGGCCACCGGAAAGAGUGCUCUGCGCCUUUGCUACCCAUCUCCACAUUUUGUGGUGCCUCUUUAGUUCAGUUAAAAGAAAUAAAAUUGUAUCUUAUUUUUUUCCUA